UAUCUACUCCCUCCGUUCGGAAUUACUUCGUAGAAAUGGAUGUAUCUAGAUGUAUGUUAGUUCUAGAUACAUCCAUAUCCGAGACAAGUAAUUCGGAACAGAGGGAGUACUAG
rfam:Triticum urartu cultivar G1812 contig58805, whole genome shotgun sequence.